GAUGGCUUCAUCCAGGCUCAUUUCAGGGUUGACAUCAGUAUCAAAUGUGCAACCCUUGAAGUUGCACACUUACACUUGGAAGGUAGAUGGAUCAGAUAUUCAUGAAUACUGUAUAUUCAAUCUUUCAAAUAUUGUGCGAUGUGUUUUUAACUGCACUAGUCAUUUCUAAAUCUGCACCUACAUGAACUGUCAGAAUACAAAAAUCCUCACACUCUUUCCUCUCUUUUUAGCAAGCCAUACAAGUGGCAGAAAGACUUAGCUACUGUUAUCAGCUCAAGAUAAAAAUGUAUGAAUCCUAAAAUAGGCAGAAAAGUUGUCCUGACAAUGAAGUUACAGUUGAAUGAAGAAGCACAUCCAAUGCCCAGCAGCCCAAAGAUGCUGCGGACUUAUUGGAGCCCACAGAUGCCCACUAGUGGAAUAUAUGGGAAAUUCCUUUUUUCCGGUUUGGACUAGAGUGAAUAACCCUAAAUUCCAGCAUAGGAGCCAAAUGCUGUUUUCCAUUACUGAAAAAAAUAAAGGUCUGGCUUUUA